GAGCAUGUUCCUCGGAACAUGCGCCUGCCAAAGGGAUACUUCCUGCUGUGUGGAGAUCGGGCAUGGCCUGGUAUUCGGGCCUACCCGGAAGGGGGUCCCUGCACGGUAGGAAAGUUGGCCCUUUACAACCCGGCGAAAUUUAUAUUAGACAUUCAAUU